AAGUCGUAACAAGGUUUCCGUAGGUGAACCUGCGGAAGGAUCAUUAAUGAAUUGUAAUUGGAGUUGAUGCUGGCAGUGGCUGCAUGUGCUCGCUCCUAACAAUCUUCAUCCAAACACCUGUGCACAUUUAGAGAGGGUCUCCGAGUUCUCCCUGGGGUCCCUUCCUCUCAUUAUACACUAGUUUUUAAUAUUGAACGUGAUUGUGCCGUGAGGCCUUAAUAUUAAUACAACUUUUAACAACGGAUCUCUUGGCUCUC
rnacentral:misc_RNA from 1 species